UGUUUGGACAUGUGGAAAGAAUGAGUGAAAGAAGGCUAACAAAGAGGGUGUAUAAGGGAGAAGUGGAAGUGGGAGUUGAAAGGGGUAGACCUCGGCGGAUUUUCUCUGAUCAGAUCGGGGAAAUCCUGAAGAAAGGCCAGGUCAAGAGCACCCUAAGCCGGCGAGCGUGUAUGAGGAAUAUAAUGAAAGUGAAGGAAGCGAAAGAGGUAUGUAUAUCAGGAUCGUAGCAAGUGGAAAUCCGUGGUCUCUGCCUACCCUUCCGGGAAAUAGGCGUGAUAAUAUGUACAGUCAGCAGCAGAAGUCGCUAUACACUCCAGGUGCUCAAAGAGAGGUAAACGUUUAAACUGUCAAAAAGUUGUUGACUGUCAUGGU